GGUUGAUGGGAUCUCCUGAUCCUACCAUAUAUCUCAUUAUUUGGUGUAUUUGAAUGUUGAAAUUGUUAAAGGGGAGCUUAAAUAUGCUAUCCUAUAGGCUUGAGAUACUGUUCAACUUUAAAAAUAAUGUGAAUCAAAAGAAAGUGAAAGUUGGAGUUAACUUUCUCAUUCUUCUUCCCAAGGACCCACUUUGGGAAUUUGUGCUUCCUAUCUCUUCAAAUUUAGGUUGGGCUGAACUGAAAAUCUUGGCUCCUAGGUGUGGAUAUCAGUUCUAGCAGGGAACACAGUACAGUGUUAUUAAAGCUAAGUCUACUGGCUGGCCAUUUUCAGUUUCCCAUACCAGUAGACCAGCACAAAAGAGGAUUUACUAUAUUGCCAUGAGUUACUGACCGUGAUGAACAUGAAGAUAUAGUUUUUGCUACAUAAUGGAAGCAAGAAGGAGUAUUUCUGGAACUCCUGUUUCAAUGAGCAGAUUCACUGGUUUUUUUGGUGCUUCCAUGCCUGCUGGCAACUUUGAACAGGUAGUUGUCUCAACCAUGACCUGAAAAGGGUCUGGUAAUCAGGCCCCCAGAUCCCAUAGGGCAAUAAGCCUAAAUCAGCACAGGUGGUGGGCAAUGGGAAUCUGAAAUGGCUGAUGGAGGAGGAAAAUUACGAAUGUUGAUUCUGGCUUCAAAAUCAACUGCAGCAGUAUGAUAUAGUUGUUAAAAACUUUAUUUUUAUUCUUUUAAAAGGAAUGAUUACUGGCCACUAACUUGAAGAAGCAAUGCCAGGAAGGAAUAAACUUAAUGGAGACACAUGUGCAUUGGAGUGGUACAAGGAGUAUAUUAGAGCAGACACUCUCAGUGUCCCAAUCCUAUUCCCUUGUCAAGAACAUUUGCUUGAAUGUUCCACAUCAAAGAGACAGGGUCUCACUAUGUUGUCCAUGCUAGUCUCACUGGAACUCCCGGCUUCAAGGGAUCCUCUCACCUCCCAAAGUGUCGGUAUUACAGGUAUGAGCCACUGUGCCCAGCCUGACACAUUUGUAAGCACUUUAUAUGAAUUAACUCAUUUAAUCCUCUUAACAACCUAUGAGGUAGGUACUAUCAGUAUCACCAUUUUACAGAUGAGGAAACCGAGCAUUAUGACCUGAUGAAAGUCCAUUUGUUCAUACCCAACUUUAAGUUCUUUAAGGUAGGUAUUUGUUGUCGCCAUUAGUUAAAGAUGAAGGCAACAGAUUUUCCCUCACAGCCUAUCAGGAACUUUACUUUAAAAACAAAUUUGAUACUUGUACAUCAAUGUUCAUAAUAGAAUUAUUUACAACAGCCAAAAGGUGGAAAUAACCCAAGUGUCUAUCACCAGAUGAAUGGAUAAACAAAAUGUGGUAUAGAGAACAUUAUUCAGCUUUAAAAAUAAUUCUGGGGCUGGAGGUGGUGGCUCAUGCCUGUAAUCCCAGCACUUUGGAAGGCUGAGGCAGGAGGAUUUCUUGAGACCAGGAGUUUGAGACCAGCAUGGGCAACAUAGUGAGACCCUGUGUAUACAAUUUUUUUUUUUUUUUUUAAUUAGCUGGACAUGGUGUGUGCUUGUUGUUCCAGCUACUUGGGAUGCUGAACUGGGAGGAUCAUUUGAGCCUGGGAGGUGGAGGCGAGAGUAAAAUAUGAUCAUGUCACUGCACUCUAGCCUGGGAGACAGAGUGAGACCCCAUCCCGGAAAACACAAAAAGAACUGUGAUACACGCUACAACAGACAAACCUUUAAAACAUCAUGCAAAGUGAAAUAAGGCAAACACAGAAGGACAAAUUUUGUGAGAUUCCUCUUAUACGAGAUACCUAUAAUUGGCAAAUUCAUAAAGACUAGAAAGUAGAAAAGAGGCCACCAGGGAAUGUGGGAGGAGGGGAUAAGCAAUUAUUAUUAUUAUUAUUAUUAUUAUUAUUAUUAAGACGGAGUUUCACUCUUGUUGCCCAGGCUGGAGUGCAAUGGCGUGAUCUCGGCUCACUGCAACCUCCGCCUCCCAGGUUCGAGCAAUUCUCCUGCUUCAGCUUCCCGAGUACCUGGAACUACAGGCACGCAUUACCACACCCGGCUAAUUUUUGUAUAUUUUAGUAGAGACUGGCUUCCACCAUGUUGGCCAGGCUGGUCUUGAACUCCUUACCUCAGGCAACCCACUUGCCUUGACCUCCCCAAGUGCUGGGAUUACAGGCAUGAGCCCCGUGCCCGGCCAAGCAAUUAUUAUUUAAUGGUUACAGAGUUUAUUUUUGGGAUGAUGAAAAAGUUCAGGAAACAGAUGAUGGUGAUGGUUACAUAACAUUGUGAAUGUAACAAUGCUACUGAAUUACAUAACUAA
rnacentral:lncRNA from 1 species